rnacentral:rRNA from 1 species
UAACAAGGAUUCCCCUAGUAACUGCGAGUGAAGCGGGAAAAGCUCAAAUUUAAAAUCUGGCGGUCUUUGGCUGUCCGAGUUGUAAUCUAGAGAAGUGUUAUCCGCGCUGGACCGUGUACAAGUCUCCUGGAAUGGAGCGUCAUAGAGGGUGAGAAUCCCGUCUUUGACACGGACUGCCAGGGCUUUGUGAUGCGCUCUCAAAGAGUCGAGUUGUUUGGGAAUGCAGCUCAAAAUGGGUGGUAAAUUCCAUCUAAAGCUAAAUAUUGGCGAGAGACCGAUAGCGAACAAGUACCGUGAGGGAAAGAUGAAAAGAACUUUGGAAAGAGAGUUAAACAGUACGUGAAAUUGCUGAAAGGGAAACGCUUGAAGUCAGUCGCAUUGUGUGGGAAUCAACCUUGCUUUUGCUGGGUGUAUUUUCCAUAUGAUGGGUCAGCAUCAAUUUUGACCGUUGGAUAAAGUUCAAGGGAAUGUGGCAUCUUCGGAUGUGUUAUAGCCCUUGGUCGUAUACAACGAUUGGGAUUGAGGAACUCAGCACGCCGAAAGGCCGGGUCUUGUACCACGUUCGUGCUUAGGAUGCUGGCAUAAUGGCUUUAAUCGACCCGUCUUGAAACA